GAUGAACGCUAGCUACAGGCUUAACACAUGCAAGUCGAGGGGAAACGACAUCGAAAGCUUGCUUUUGAUGGGCGUCGACCGGCGCACGGGUGAGUAACGCGUAUCCAACCUGCCCAUCACUUGGGGAUAACCUUGCGAAAGUAAGACUAAUACCCAAUGAUAUCUCUAGAAGACAUCUGAAAGAGAUUAAAGAUUUAUCGGUGAUGGAUGGGGAUGCGUCUGAUUAGCUUGUUGGCGGGGUAACGGCCCACCAAGGCAACGAUCAGUAGGGGUUCUGAGAGGAAGGUCCCCCACAUUGGAGCUGAGACACGGUCCAAACUCCUACGGGAGGCAGCAGUGAGGAAUAUUGGUCAAUGGGCGAGAGCCUGAACCAGCCAAGUAGCGUGCAGGAAGACGGCCCUAUGGGUUGUAAACUGCUUUUAUAAGGGAAUAAAGUGAGAGUCGUGACUCUUUUUGUAUGUACCUUAUGAAUAAGGACCGGCUAAUUCCGUG
rnacentral:rRNA from 1 species